rnacentral:lncRNA from 1 species
CAGCGGAUUUUGGUUAAUAUUUGUAACCUUUCUCGUGCAGCGCAGGUCUUUGAAUACCUAACCUCCUUGAGCCUCAGUUUUCUCGUUUGUCAAAGGGCGAUAAUAAGAGGACUCAUCCUAGAUCCUAUAAAGGGAGCCCUGGGGAGGAACGCAGGAGGACCUGCAGAAACUCUAGCCCCGGGCCUGGCCUACAGAGUGGGCGCUGGCGAGCAGCUCCCUGCGGGGCACACGGCCCGGCUGCGCUCGGCAGUCCCAGCCUGCUCUGAAUCCGCAAGCACUUUCUGUGCGGGCCCCCAAAUCCGGAACCUCGGGGUCUGUCCUAACUGCGCCGCGGCCCGGGCGCUCGGCUGGAGCAGGUCAGCUUCCCAGGCUCGGGAGCGGGGCCCUGCCCCCGAGGAAGCGCGCGCGGCGGGGGCCCGGGAGGGGGCCGGGCGGCGGGGGCAGGGGCUCCGGCGGCGGGGGCGGCGCGGGCCGGCUCCUGCGUCAGAGGGGCCCUGUUUUCGCACCUUCCCUGACGUCAAACCUCCAUCAGGGCCGCCGCGCCACCUUCCCGGGCAGGUUUCCCGGGCCGAGUCGUGCCUCGGGCGGGUCCUGCGAAGGGCGCUCCGGCUCCGGUCGCUGUCGCCGGCGGCGGGCGCGCUCCGGGCGGGCGAAUCCGAGUCGGAGGAAGCGUCCGGCUCCCGUGGAGAUAUUUGCUGGGACUAAUGUAGCUGAUGAAAUAUCUCCUCUUUUCUGCUCAAGGUAAAUGAUUUAUUACUUUAUAAAAAUAUCAGGUACCAGUAGAAUUCAGAGUUUGUAUAAAAAGACCCGUUCAGCCAUGCAGGGUAAUGUAAUCCCAGACCACAAAGAAAUGAUCCCUUUAAUAAGUAAGAAUUUUAUUAGCACCUAAAAAAUGGUGACAUAUUAUUAGUUCAACCUAUUUCAGAAUCACCUUGGAGCAUUUUAAAUGUGCACAAUAUGCAUGUGCCUGGCUCCCCUCCAGGGGGCUUUGAUUCAGUGAGUUUUCAGGGGGGUCCUAGCAUGUGGCUUUUACACAAUGCCAACAGGUGCUUCUGGUUCAUUGUAGCUGUGUCAUUGUGGUGUGUAUAUGACACUAGAGACGAUGGCAAUGGCAAGAAAUAAUGCCAUGGGAGUUAAAGGCCUUAAGGGUUAAAGAUAAAAAAAAAUUUAAAGUCUUUAAAUUUUGUGGAUAUUUGAUGUUAGACUCAUACUUUUAUUUUGCCUUUCUUUUUUUUUUUUUNUGUGGGUCCUUCUAGUUGUGGUAUGUGGGACGCUGCCUCAGAGUGGUUUGAUGAGCAGUGCCAUGUCCGCACCCAGGAUUCAAACCAACGAAACACUGGGCCGCCUGCAGCGGAGCGCGCGAACUUAACCACUCGGCCACGGGGCCAGCUCCCUAUUUUGCCUUUCAUUUAAUGAAUGUUUUAAUUAUAUUUUAAGUAAAGCACUAAAAAGUUUGUUAUUUUACUAUUUUCAGAGUUUAGGUUUAAACUCUAGCGUUCCCUUGGCCUGAAAAUUACCAUAUCUAUAAAUGCAACUUAAGGCUUUGUUUCAUUUUGUUGCUUCGGGUUAAUAAAUGAGUAAAUUAAUGGAAGAAAGACCA